GUUCGCAAAUUCUGAUACCAAAGUGAAUAGCAUCAAAGAUGUAACCCACAGAUUGCAAACUACACAAGCUCAAGCAUUAGACGAAUGGGUAAGUACGAAAUAGAAAUUUGGACUCAUGCUAACAAAUAAUGAAUACUGUAUGGAGGAACAAAAUUUGGCAAGAAUGAUAUUUUAUAAUUCACCGUCAGUUUAUAAACAACUGAGAAAAGGCGGUGGAUUAGAAAUUAUAAUUUAAACGCUGGCUUUCCAAAGAAUACUUUUCAAGAUAUUCAAACACGAUUGUUUGAACUGCCACCAGAGCACAGACUGUACACAUUAUAGUGGAAUGAAAUGUCAGUAAACUGUUUAGAGGGAUUUAUUGACUUAGGAAUUUUAGGUGGUCGCAAUGUGACAAAAAAGCACAAUAUGUGUUUGUCUUCAGAGGCUUAAACAGCAGUUUAAAUCCUGAAAAUGAAUGGAGGUAGCCGCUGACAUACUUCCUACUGGGAAAAAAAGUUCUUGAAAGCGAAGAAAUAGCAACAACUUUUACAAAUAUGUUUGCUGCUGCUGAAAGAAAGUGGAGCAAACAUCAAAGUUUGAUAUGUAACUAAUGCAUCGCAAACCAAGCAAGAAAGAAAAAUUAAAAAUAGGCAAAAAUUAAAAAAUAGUCUUCGUUUAUAGAAAACUGAAUCGAUUUCUCUGUGGUAUAUCCAAACUUGCACGAAGGUGGUUUGAGCAUCUGAAGUACGAGAGAGAAAAGAAAGUUUCAAAGAAAUGUUGCCUAUGUCUAAGUGCCAUAGCUACUCUGUUUAUUAUCGUCAAACUCUCCCAGCAUUCUUGAAUCUGAUGUGGAAGACUGAGUAGUUCCUUGAUCUCUAGGAUGCUCAAUCAACAAGUUUCCUAAGUUUCACUGAUUACCUUCAAAUCUGUGUGAUACAAAAUUUUUCGAAUGAAUUCUUUGACUAAAAUGUUAUUCGAAUAAAUUCUUCAAUUAAAAUUUUAUUCAAAUAUUUCGACUAAAUUCUACGAAUAAAAUUUUAUUCGUUGUUCAAAUAAACUAUGACAACUUUGUUUCACACCUAGUUAAUAAAUAUUUACAUUCCCUUCCAUUAAAAGAAGAUGAUCCAAGUAGCUGAAACAUGAGCCAGGAGAAACCACGCGUCGAAAACAAAGAGAAAGAGAAGAGAGUCCCAAGAUAACUUGAACGAGAUCUAGCAUUGUCUGUGUCCAAGUGACACAAUUUAAUGUCUUUAUUAAAAAUAUUAGUCAUGUUGUAAACACUCAUUUUACACGCAUUUUAUACGCAACUUAUAUUAACUAUAAUUUUAAAUUUGCAACUGCGAACUUAAUGUGUAUACAUAUUAAAUUAAGUACAUUUGUAAUAAAUUCUCUGCGUUUUAUUUCUUCGUUCAAAAGUCGUAAAAUGUUUGAGCAAUAAAAAUCAUGGUGGUGCACGGUA